rnacentral:rRNA from 1 species
AGCGAACGCUGGCGGCAGGCUUAACACAUGCAAGUCGAACGAGAAACUAGACUUCGGUCUAGCGGAAAGUGGCAGACGGGUGAGUAACGCGUGGGAAUCUACCUUUGAGUGGGGAAUAACAACUAGAAAUGGUUGCUAAUACCGCAUAUACCCUCCGGGGGAAAGGCUUCGGCCGCUCUUAGAUGAGCCCGCGUACGAUUAGUUUGUUGGUAAGGUAAAGGCUUACCAAGACUACGAUCGUUAGCUGGUUUGAGAGGAUGAUCAGCCACACUGGGACUGAGACACGGCCCAGACUCCUACGGGAGGCAGCAGUGGGGAAUAUUGGACAAUGGGCGAAAGCCUGAUCCAGCCAUGCCGCGUGAGUGAAGAAGGCCUUAGGGUUGUAAAACUCUUUCGGCAGGGAAGAUAAUGACGGUACCUGCAGAAGAAGCUCCGGCUAACUCCGUGCCAGCCGCCGCCGUAAAAC